rnacentral:rRNA from 1 species
CAUAUCAAUAAGCGGAGGAAAAGAAACCAACAGGGAUUGCCCCAGUAACGGCGAGUGAAGCGGCAACAGCUCAAAUUUGAAAUCUGGCCCCCAGGGUCCGAGUUGUAAUUUGCAGAGGAUGAUUUUGGCGAGGUGCCUUCCGAGUUCCCUGGAACGGGACGCCACAGAGGGUGAGAGCCCCGUCUGGUUGGACGCCGAGCCUAUGUAAAUCUCCUUCGACGAGUCGAGUAGUUUGGGAAUGCUGCUCUAAAUGGGAGGUAUAUGUCUUCUAAAGCUAAAUAUUGGCCAGAGACCGAUAGCGCACAAGUAGAGUGAUCGAAAGAUGAAAAGCACUUUGAAAAGAGGGUUAAAUAGUACGUGAAAUUGUUGAAAGGGAAGCGCUCAUGACCAGACUUGGGCCCGGUGAAUCAUCCAGCGUUCUCGCUGGUGCACUUUGCCGGGCUCAGGCCAGCAUCAGUUUGCCCCGGGGGAUAAAGGCUUUGGGAAUGUGGCUCCUCCGGGAGUGUUAUAGCCCAUUGCAUAAUAUCCUG